rnacentral:misc_RNA from 1 species
UGUCCGUAGGUGAACCAGCGGAAGGAUCAUUAGCGAAUUGUGUAUGUUAGCGGACCUCUUCGGGGUCCCUACCAUCAAAUCAUAUCCAUAACACCUGUGAACUGUAAGGCUGUCUUUAACACAAAAGUGAGUAGAGCGCCUGCCAAUUUUAUACAAACCUUAAGGUAACAAACGAAUUCUUAAUAUCAUCUAAUAAAACUUUCAGCAACGGAUCUCUUGGCUCUC